CUCAAAUCUGUUAGUGCGACUCCCGGGGGCCCGGAGACGGUGUCCCGCGGGAGUCGUCACGACACAACAUUUACAUACAAUGACUCUGGGCAACGGAUAUCUCGGCUCUUGCAUCGAUGAAGAACGUAGCGAAAUGCGAUACUCGGUGUGAAUUGCAGAAUCCCGUGAACCAUCGAGUCUUUGAACGCAAGUUGCGCCCGAAGCCAUUAGGCCGAGGGCACGCCUGCCUGGGUGUCACACAUCGUUUCCCCAACGCAAACAUGUAACAAUGUUGCUGCGCGGGGUGUAUGCUGACCUCCCGCGAGCACCCGCCUCGUGGUUGGUUGAAAUCUGGGUUCAUGGCCGACUUCGCCGUGAUAAAAUGGUGGAUGAGCCACGCUCGAGACCAAUCACGUGCGAGCCGGUCAGUUCUGGACCCAUCGACGACCCUUUGCGUGCACGCACGCUCCCAACGAGACCUCAGGUCAGGCGGGGCUACCCGCUGAG
rnacentral:rRNA from 1 species